rnacentral:rRNA from 1 species
AAUCAACGCUGGCGGCGUGCCUAACACAUGCAAGUCGAACGCGAAAGCCCCGAAAGGGGUCAGUAGAGUGGCAAACGGGUGAGUAACACGUGGGUGACCUGCCUUCGAGUGGGGAUAACGUCCCGAAAGGACGAUAAUACCGCAUAACAUCCUGCCUUUGAAGAGGCGGACGAUCAAAGCUGGGGAUCGCAAGACCUCGCGCUUGAAGAGGGGCCCGCGCCUGAUUAGCUAGUUGGGGGUAAUGGCUCACCAAGGCAACGAUCAGUAUCCGGCUGAGAGGGCGGACGGACACACUGGGACUGAGACACGGCCCAGGACUCCUACGGGAGGC